UGGGGAAUUUUGGACAAUGGGGGCAACCCUGAUCCAGCCAUGCCGCGUGCGGGAAGAAGGCCUUCGGGUUGUAAACCGCUUUUGGUCGGGAAGAAAAGGCCGCCGCUAAUACCGGUGGUACUUGACGGUACCGGCAGAAUAAGCACCGGCUAACUACGUGCCAGCAGCCGCGGUAAUACGUAGGGUGCGAGCGUUAAUCGGAAUUACUGGGCGUAAAGCGUGCGCAGGCGGUUAGUUAAGUCUGAUGUGAAAGCCCCGGGCUCAACCUGGGAAUGGCAUUGGAAACUGGCUGGCUAGAGUGUGGCAGAGGGGGGUGGAACUCCGCGUGUAGCAGUGAAAUGCGUAGAGAUGCGGAAGAACACCGAUGGCGAAGGCAGCCCCCUGGGCCAACACUGACGCU
rnacentral:rRNA from 1 species